AUGUCAAGAGAGAAUGAUAAACUUUACUUCAUUGAUUAUGAAUAUGCAUCAUACAACUACAGAGGCUAUGACAUAGGGAAUCACUUUGCAGAAUAUGCCGGUUUUGUGAAUGUGACUACUCCUUGUACCCAAAUAUGAAUGAACAAUAUCAUUUCUUCAGGCAUUACUUACAGCCGGACAGACCUCAAGAGGUAACAAUCAUAGUGAAGGGGAUUAAUAUUUAA